UAAAAAUAAAAUUAAAAUUAAAAAAUACAAAACCGCCUAGGCGGCUCCUAGGCGCCUGGCCGGGCGCUCCUCCCCAGCCAACUGCCCGACUAGAGCCUAGCGAUUUUUCGAACCUUGGAUAAAAGACUUACAUUCAGGAAUAUUGAACAUUUGAGGAAUUACUGUAUAACGUCAAAUUUCUUAGAUUCCAGGAGCCAGAGGAACAAUCUGAGCGUGAAAGGUUGCAAAAACAGUGGUUUCUUGAGUAGGAGAAGAUACGAAGUUCAAAAGGGGGGAUAAAAUAGGAGAUUUUCUUCGCUCUCUACAACAGCAACUAGAACCUGAGUUUCAAGAAGUUCGGACUACCUCAGCGGAGAAUCUGCUGUAUGUAAAAGAAUUUAUCAUUCCACAUUUAACAUAUACUAAAGCUCAAUCCACUGUUAUACGGUUGCUCAAUCCACUGUUAUACUGUUCAUACCGUUGACAACUGUUCAUAAGCGUGCGUAAUGACUGUCUUGCCCUUUUCUUUCCAUCAAUUAACUGUGAGUUCGGGUUCUCUCGACUUGGUUUUGAUAGAGGUUUACUGUGGUUUUCAUGCGAUAGAAGGGACUGGCUUUAGCUUUUCCGAAUCUUCGAUCUGUAAAGAUUUGAUAUAGGAUUGGUGUUUUGUUGUUGGAUCAUCGAUCGGCCCAUAAAAGGUGAGAGGGUUGGACUCUAUUCGAUCUUUAGCAUCAGAGCUUUUUCCAAUCUUCAAUCUAUUGAUAAAGGUAGUCAUGAAUCAUCUGUUCGCGGAAUUUUUUUCAAUUCUCUAUAUGUGAACUGGAUUUUACUCACUACAAUUAAACCAACCGUGCUUGGGCUUUGAAGAUAAUCAUGUUAGACCAACUAGGUGAGGGGUUUUGUACUAUGAUCAAGAUAAUCGUGUAUAUUUUUCUUUUAAUCUCUUAAAUUUGCUUCAGUUUCUCUGUUCCUAUAUUCAGAUGGUGAGGUGUUCUGUUUCCAAGAAUGAGUUUUUACUUUUUAACAUUGUAUUUAUGGGAUGAUCUACUGUUAUUGCUAAUGUUAAUGGUUAAUUGAGUUUCUAAAUUUGUUGUUCAAAUGAGAUGCGAUACUCUACUGUUUUA